AGCGAACGCUGGCGGCAGGCCUAACACAUGCAAGUUGAACGAAGUCUUCGGAUUUAGUGGCGGACGGGUGAGUAACACGUGGGAACGUACCUUUUGGUUCGGAACAACUCAGGGAAACUUGAGCUAAUACCGGAUGAGCCCUUAGGGGGAAAGAUUUAUCGCCGAAAGAGCGGCCCGCGUUAGAUUAGCUAGUUGGUGAGGUAAAGGCUCACCAAGGCUACGAUCUAUAGCUGGUCUGAGAGGAUGAUCAGCCACACUGGGACUGAGACACGGCCCAGACUCCUACGGGAGGCAGCAGUGGGGAAUCUUGCGCAAUGGGCGAAAGCCUGACGCAGCCAUGCCGCGUGAAUGAUGAAGGUCUUGGGAUUGUAAAAUUCUUUUACCAGGGACGAUAAUGACGGUGCCUGGAGAAAAAGCCCCGGCUAACUUCGUGCCAGCCGCCGCCGUAACAC
rnacentral:rRNA from 1 species